rnacentral:rRNA from 1 species
GAUAAGGAAAGUAGGAAAGGGCGCAUGGCGGAUGCCUUGGCUCUCGGAGGCGAUGAAGGACGUGAUAAGCUGCGAUAAGUCACGGGGAGGUGCAAAUAACCUUUGAUCCGUGAAUCUCCGAAUGGGACAACCCGAUAUCCUGAAGGGAUAUCACCUUACAUAGUAAGGAGCUAACGCAGGGAACUGAAACAUCUUAGUACCUGCAGGAAAAGAAAAUAACAAUG